rnacentral:lncRNA from 1 species
UCUGUUUUCAUGACCUCAUAUGGAAUUACUCAUGUACUGACUAUACCUUUUUGUGUCAAAUAAUCUCACCCCUCUACUUCUCAUAUUCGUAGUUUAUUUCAAAACUAUUUUUAUCUAUCAUUUAAUACACUUUAUUUACAUUCUCGUUUUCUAAGUACUGGUAUAUUUUAUUGCUCAAUAAAUUUUUGACCGCGGAAAUAUUUGAAAACAACUCACGUUAGGUCUAAACUACUAACAAAACUUUAGUAAUUGUGCUAGCAAAGUAAUUUAAUAGUUAAUAAAAUUUUUGACGUGCGCUAUUUUUCAAAAAUAUAUAUUAAAUUCAUUACUUUGCUUGCAGAUUGUAAUAUGAAACGGUGAAAUAAAUAGAAAAAAUAGGGGAAAUAACCAAUACGAGAUCAAGAAUACUUUGAAAAUAUUAUAAUGACAAUAAAAAAUUGCUUAAAGAAUCGGAGAACGCAAGCUUGAAAUGGAAUUACCACUCAGAUAAAAUUAAAAUCGAUUGAGAGUUAGAUGAAUUAAGCAUCAAAAUUAAUACUUAUGAUUUGCUUGCUGUAAAGGAAAUCAUUAAUUCGCUCACAAUACGGUACCAUAAAUGAAUACUGGAAAAUUUACAUAAAGCAUGUAGAUUAACAUGGGAAAUCCCUAACAUUGUUAGCUUUUAUUCAUUUUCCUUAAAAAAAAGUACGAACUCAAAGCUCACUUAUAAAGAUAUCAUAAAGUAUUUAAAAAAUAAAAGAAUAUUAUUCAUAUAAAGGUAUCUUAUAUUACCAAGGCUUAGGCUUUCGUUUGUUUAUGCUAUCAGUCGCUUGCUAAUAUUUGAUUGGCUCUUCUUUCAGUAAACUAACAAAGCAUUGGAGCUUUUAUAAACUACGUCAUUUAAGUAGGCGUGAACUAAAUUAUUGGACAGAAUUGAGUUUCUUUCACUAUGCAUUGGAAAUUCCUAUAAAUAGUCGAUGAAGUCUGCGAAACAAGGGAGGUAAACAGACUUAGUGGGUAUUAAAAUGUUGGUCAAUCUUCUGCCGUCUUGAUUUAAAAGCACUUCUCUUUUACUAUUGUAAGACGGAAUAUGCAUGCAAGAUCGCUUUAGUUGGUUGAAUGUCUCUUUCUUUGUGUUGUGGUUUGUUCGUUUUUUUCUAAUUUGGAAUAUUAUAAGAAACGUUGUUUUCUUGCAACAUUUUGAAAUGGUCAUUCAAAAAGCUGGAUUCGGUACCACUUUUCUUUUUACCUUGUCUUCUAAGCUCUGUUAAAUUUCUUGAUGGGGUCCAGUUAAACCAACCCCCAAGUUGGUUUAUGUGAGCCUUGUCUCUUUUUUGGAUGAAUAGUAGCUUAGAUAGUGAUAGUUAUUAUUAUGACUGAUGGAAUCUACUUAAAAAUGGAUUCCAUUUUUUGUCUACUGUAAUUGAAUUCUUUUUGGUACACUUUUUGGCUGCAUUGUUAUCCUUGAAAGCACUUACAAUGUUUAAACUUUGCGAAUGACUGAAACAGAAAAGAAAUAAAACGACUGUACCUGAACUAUUGUUGAAACAAUAUUAAAACGUAUUCCUGAAACAGAUUAAACU